rnacentral:rRNA from 1 species
AGUGAACGCUGGCGGUAGGCCUAACACAUGCAAGUCGAACGGCAGCACAGUAAGAGCUUGCUCUUACGGGUGGCGAGUGGCGGACGGGUGAGGAAUACAUCGGAAUCUACUUUUUCGUGGGGGAUAACGUAGGGAAACUUACGCUAAUACCGCAUACGACCUACGGGUGAAAGCAGGGGAUCUUCGGCCCUUGCGCGAUUGAAUGAGCCGAUGUCGGAUUAGCUAGUUGGCGGGGUAAAGGCCCACCAAGGCGACGAUCCGUAGCUGGUCUGAGAGGAUGAUCAGCCACACUGGAACUGAGACACGGUCCAGACUCCUACGGGAGGCAGCAGUGGGGAAUAUUGGACAAUGGGCGCAAGCCUGAUCCAGCCAUACCGCGUGGGUGAAGAAGGCCUUCGGGUUGUAAAGCCCUUUUGUUGGGAAAGAAAAGCAGCAGGUUAAUACCCCGCGGUUCUGACGGUACCCAAAGAAUAAGCACCGGCUAACUUCGUG